AGAGUUUGAUCAUGGCUCAGAACGAACGCUGGCGGCAUGCCUAACACAUGCAAGUCGAACGGGAUCCUGGCUUCGGCCAGGUGAGAGUGGCGGACGGGUGAGUAACGCGUGGGAACCUGCCCAGUGGUGGGGGAUAACUGCGGGAAACUGCAGCUAAUACCGCAUGAGCCCGAGAGGGGAAAGAUUUAUCGCCAUUGGAGGGGCCCGCGUUCGAUUAGGUAGUUGGUGGGGUAAUGGCCUACCAAGCCGACGAUCGAUAGCUGGUCUGAGAGGAUGAUCAGCCACACUGGGACUGAGAUACGGCCCAGACUCCUACGGGAGGCAGCAGUGGGGAAUUUUGGACAAUGGGGGCAACCCUGAUCCAGCAAUGCCGCGUGAGUGAUGAAGGCCUUCGGGUUGUAAAGCUCUUUUGCCAGGGACGAUGAUGACGGUACCUGGAGAAUAAGCCCCGGCUAACUUCGUGCCAGCAGCCGCGGUAAUACGAAGGGGGCAAGCGUUGUUCGGAAUUACUGGGCGCAAAGGGCGCGUAGGCGGCUUGCCAAGUCAGGCGUGAAAUUUCCGGGCUCAACCUGGGGGCUGCGCUUGAUACUGGUGAGCUUGAAUGCGGGAGAGGAUAGUGGAAUUCCCAGUGUAGAGGUGAAAUUCGUAGAUAUUGGGAAGAACACCGGUGGCGAAGGCGGCUAUCUGGCCCGU
rnacentral:rRNA from 1 species